UACGUAGGGAGCAAGCGUUGUCCGGAAUCAUUGGGCGUAAAGCGCGCGUAGGCGGCCCCGUAAGUCCGCUGUGAAAGUCAAAGGCUCAACCUUUGAAAGCCGGUGGAUACUGUGGGGCUAGAGUCCGGAAGAGGCGAGUGGAAUUCCUGGUGUAGCGGUGGAAUGCGCAGAUAUCAGGAGGAACACCAGCGGCGAAGGCGGCGCUCUGGGCCGGUACUGACACUGAGGAGCGAAAGCGUGGGUAGCAAACAGG
rnacentral:rRNA from 1 species